GACGAACGCUGGCGGCGUGCUUAACACAUGCAAGUCGAACGGAAAGGCCCUGCUUUUGUGGGGUGCUCGAGUGGCGAACGGGUGAGUAACACGUGAGUAACCUGCCCUUGACUUUGGGAUAACUUCAGGAAACUGGGGCUAAUACCGGAUAGGAGCUCCUGCUGCAUGGUGGGGGUUGGAAAGUUUCGGCGGUUGGGGAUGGACUCGCGGCUUAUCAGCUUGUUGGUGGGGGAGUGGCUUACCAAGGCUUUGACGGGUAGCCGGCCUGAGAGGGUGACCGGCCACAUUGGGACUGAGAUACGGCCCAGACUCCUAAGGGAGGCAGCAGGGGGGAAUAUUGCACAAUGGGCGGAAGCCUGAUGCAGCAACGCCGCGUGCGGGAUGACGGCCUUCGGGGUGUAAACCGCUUUCGCCUGUGACGAAGCGUGAGUGACGGUAAUGGGUAAAGAAGCACCGGCUAACUACGUG
rnacentral:rRNA from 1 species